GGGUGAUAUGAUGGCAUACCAUCUUUCGGGACUGACUCUUUGUGUUGAGAGCUCUCUUAACACUGAUCACUC